GAUGAACGCUGGCGGCGUGCCUAAUACAUGCAAGUCGAGCGAACGGACGAGAAGCUUGCUUCUCUGAUGUUAGCGGCGGACGGGUGAGUAACACGUGGAUAACCUACCUAUAAGACUGGGAUAACUUCGGGAAACCGGAGCUAAUACCGGAUAAUAUUUUGAACCGCAUGGUUCAAAAGUGAAAGACGGUCUUGCUGUCACUUAUAGAUGGAUCCGCGCUGCAUUAGCUAGUUGGUAAGGUAACGGCUUACCAAGGCAACGAUGCAUAGCCGACCUGAGAGGGUGAUCGGCCACACUGGAACUGAGACACGGUCCAGACUCCUACGGGAGGCAGCAGUAGGGAAUCUUCCGCAAUGGGCGAAAGCCUGACGGAGCAACGCCGCGUGAGUGAUGAAGGUCUUCGGAUCGUAAAACUCUGUUAUUAGGGAAGAACAUAUGAGUAAGUAACUGUGCACAUCUUGACGGUACCUAAUCAGAAAGCCACGGCUAACUACGUGCCAGCAGCCGCGGUAAUACGUAGGUGGCAAGCGUUAUCCGGAAUUAUUGGGCGUAAAGCGCGCGUAGGCGGUUUUUUAAGUCUGAUGUGAAAGCCCACGGCUCAACCGUGGAGGGUCAUUGGAAACUGGAAAACUUGAGUGCAGAAGAGGAAAGUGGAAUUCCAUGUGUAGCGGUGAAAUGCGCAGAGAUAUGGAGGAACACCAGUGGCGAAGGCGACUUUCUGGUCUGUAACUGACGCUGAUGUGCGAAAGCGUGGGGAUCAAACAGGAUUAGAUACCCUGGUAGUCCACGCCGUAAACGAUGAGUGCUAAGUGUUAGGGGGUUUCCGCCCCUUAGUGCUGCAGCUAACGCAUUAAGCACUCCGCCUGGGGAGUACGACCGCAAGGUUGAAACUCAAAGGAAUUGACGGGGACCCGCACAAGCGGUGGAGCAUGUGGUUUAAUUCGAAGCAACGCGAAGAACCUUACCAAAUCUUGACAUCCUUUGACAACUCUAGAGAUAGAGCCUUCCCCUUCGGGGGACAAAGUGACAGGUGGUGCAUGGUUGUCGUCAGCUCGUGUCGUGAGAUGUUGGGUUAAGUCCCGCAACGAGCGCAACCCUUAAGCUUAGUUGCCAUCAUUAAGUUGGGCACUCUAAGUUGACUGCCGGUGACAAACCGGAGGAAGGUGGGGAUGACGUCAAAUCAUCAUGCCCCUUAUGAUUUGGGCUACACACGUGCUACAAUGGACAAUACAAAGGGCAGCGAAACCGCGAGGUCAAGCAAAUCCCAUAAAGUUGUUCUCAGUUCGGAUUGUAGUCUGCAACUCGACUACAUGAAGCUGGAAUCGCUAGUAAUCGUAGAUCAGCAUGCUACGGUGAAUACGUUCCCGGGUCU
rnacentral:rRNA from 1 species